CGUAUGCCCCCGAAUUAUCUGGGCUACACGCGGGCUACAAUGGGUGGGACAAUGGGUAUCGACACCGAAAGGUGAAGGCAAUCUCCUAAACCCAUCCGUAGUUCGGAUUGUGGGCUGCAACCCGCCCACAUGAAGCUGGAAUCUGUAGUAAUCGUGUCUCAAAUGGCACGGUGAAUAUGUCCCUGCUCCUU
rnacentral:rRNA from 1 species